GCACACCCCUUGUCCCUGUUGGCAUCAAACAGUGCCUAUGUGACUCCUUACCUGAGGAAUUGUUACAGAGGGGAUUUGCAAACCCCAAAGGAACAGGGGCUGCAAACUCAAAUGCCUUCAGGACCUGGAAAGGCAACAGGAAGCAGGCAAUGUGGCCAGCUGUGGACAGGCGGAGUGUGUGACAGCCGCUGGGUAGUUUAGCCAAGUGUCACACACUGGAGGGGAUGUUCAAACUUAGAAAGUUACUCUCGGCUGAAGACCUGAGAUGGAAAUUUGUAUAGCUGAGCACGGUCUGAGGAAGAAUCUCUGUUCAAAGAAGAAUCUAUUAGCCUCAGAUCAGAGCCUGAGGUACUGGUAAGGAACAUGGAACUAACAGGCCACCACCAACCGGAAGCGUUCAGGAAAGGUCCAAAGGAGACACCACGUGUCCCGCCACCUCCCAGAAUCCUCACUGGAAUUCACCUUGGCUGGGCAAUGUGUGCACCACCAAGAAGGACCCUGAGUCGGAGUGAUUGGCCAGAGACAACCCAGAAAGUAAUUCCAACACCAUAAAACCCAGCACUGCAAGCCACGUGGCAGAGCAGUCCUCCUGGGUUUCCUUACCCUCCUGCCCUCCACCCAGGCAACGCUUCCCAAUAAAGUCUCUUGCUC